GAUGAACGCUGGCGGCGUGCCUAAUACAUGCAAGUCGAGCGAACGGACGAGAAUCUUGCUUCUCUGAUGUUAUCGGCGGACGGGUCAGUAACACGUGGAUAACCUACCUCUAAGACUGUGAUAACUUCGGGAAACCGUAGCUAAUACCGGAUAAUAUUUUGAACUGCAUGGUUCAAAAGUGAAAGACGGUCUUGCUGUCACUUAUAGAUUGAUCCGCGCUGCAUUAGCUAGUUGGUAAGGUAACGGCUUACCAAGGCAACGAUGCAUAACCGACCUGAGAGGGUGAUCGAGCAGACGGGCGGUGAGAAACGGUCCAGACACCUACGGGAGGCAGCAGUAGGGAAUCUUACGCAAUGGGCGAAAGCCGGACGGAGCAAAGCCGCGGGAGUGAUGAAGGUCUUAGGAUCGUAAAACGAUGUUAUUAGGGAAGAAGAAAUGUGUAAGUAACUGGGAAGAUAUUGACGGUACCUAAUCAGAAAGCCACGGCUAACUACGUG
rnacentral:rRNA from 1 species